CCGGGAAACUAAGCAUAUCAAUAAGCGGAGGAAAAGAAACUAACAAGGAUUCCCCUAGUAACUGCGAGUGAAGCGGGAAAAGCUCAAAUUUAAAAUCUGGUGGUCUUUGGCCAUCCGAGUUGUAAUUUAGAGAAGCGUCUUCCGCGCUGGGCCGUGCACAAGUCUCCUGGAACGGAGCGUCAUAGAGGGUGAGAAUCCCGUCUUUGGCACGGACAUGCCAGGGCUUUUGUGAUGCGCUCUCGAAGAGUCGAGUUGUUUGGGAAUGCAGCUCAAAAUGGGUGGUGAACUCCAUCUAAAGCUAAAUAUUGGCGAGAGACCGAUAGCGAACAAGUACCGUGAGGGAAAGAUGAAAAGCACUUUGGAAAGAGAGUGAAACAGUACGUGAAAUUGUUGAAAGGGAAACGCUUGAAGUCAGUCGCGUUGACCGAGACUCAGCCUUGCCUUGGCUUGGUGUACUUCUCGGCUGACGGGUCAGCAUCAAUUUUGCCCCUUGGAUAAUGGCGAGGGAAAUGUGACACCUUUACGGUGUGUUAUAGUCUCUUGUCGCAUGCAAGGGUUGGGAUUGAGGAACUCAGCACGCGCCUUUGGGUGUCGGGGUUUUUGCCCACGAUACGUGCUUAGGAUGUUGGCGUAAUGGCUUUAAACGACCCGUCUUGAAACACGGACCAAGGAGUCUAACAUGCCUGCGAGUGUUCGGGUGGAAAACCCGUGCGCGCAAUGAAAGUGAAAGUUGGGACCUCUGUCGUGGAGGGCACCGACGCCCGGACCAGACCUUUUGUGACGGCUCUGCGGUAAAGCAUGUAUGUUAGGACCCGAAAGAUGGUGAACUAUGCCUGAAUAGGGUGAAGCCAGAGGAAACUCUGGUGGAGGCUCGUAGCGAUUCUGACGUGCAAAUCGAUCGUCAAAUUUGGGUAUAGGGGCGAAAGACUAAUCGAACCAUCUAGUAGCUGGUUCCUGCCAAUUCCCCCUCC
rnacentral:rRNA from 1 species